AAUAUCUCAUGUGCUAAGAUUGCUCCUUAAGUCUGAAAUAACAUUUACUUUAACAAUGUAAAUGGCUAAGGAAAUAUGGUACAUCCAUUCAUGGCUAUUUAGAAAACACUGGUACUCCCGAAGAUUGGGAAAAUGUUUUAAUGGUAAACAACUUCAAUGGUGAUUUUUUUAAUCCGUUGGAAGAUGUGUUGCAGGCUGUGUCUUCCGCCGCAAUUGCUGAGGUUGCCCGUGGCAAUAGGGAAGUGCAGGACGCUAUUGCGCAGGAAGGAGCGAUUCCCCACCUGGUGGCUCUGUUCAAAGGAAAACAUCUUAGUGUCCAAAUGAAAGGUGCAGUGGCUGUGGAAUCACUGGCAAGUUACAACCCUCCAAUACAGAAGGCGUUUCUGGAAAAUACAUUAACUAAAUAUCUUUUAAAACUCCUAAAGGCAUUUCAGAUAGAUAUUAAGGAGCAAGGAGCUGCGGCGCUGUGGGCUUUGGCAGGACAAACUCUGAAACAGCAGAAGUACAUGGCGGAGCAGAUCGGAUACAACUUUAUAAUAAACAUGCUUUUGUCACCCUCUGCCAAAAUGCAGUAUGUUGGUGAGUUUUUCUUCGAAACGCAAAUCUGCACAGUGUAUCAGGACGCAGGGGCAUCCCGUCUGUCUCUUCCUUUUCUUUACCAGGAGGUGAGGCAGUCAUAGCCCUAAGUAAGGACAGCAGGAUGCAUCAAAAUCAGAUAUGUGAGGGCAAUGGAAUCGCGCCGUUGGUUCGCUUACUGAGAAUUAAUAAGAUCGCGGAAGGCACACUUCUCAGCGUCAUCAGAGCUGUGGGGUCCAUUUGCAUCGGUUCGUGCACCCAUUCUCAACUUCUCAAAAAUCUGUAAGAAAAAGAAAGGACGUAGGAAGAGAGAU
rnacentral:lncRNA from 1 species